CAAAACAUGGCUUUCUGUGUAAGCAAAGAAAGGGGGUCGGACCUGCCCGGUGGAUUUGUUUCUAAACGGUUGCAGUAUUGUACGAAGGUAGCAUAAUAGAUUGUCCUUUAAUUGGGGAAUAGUAUGAAUGGUUUGACGUGGAAAGACUUUAUUGGGGAUAAAUGUUGAAUUUUACUUCCUAGUGCAAAGGCUGGGAUGAGGUUAUUAGACGAGAAGACCCUGUCGAGCUUGAUAGGUCAACAUCUGUAAGAGUGGUGGUGGGUUAAGUUUUUUCGGGGAAGAAAAGAAGGGAGGAAAAAUGCCUUCUUUUUUAUAUAUAUAGAGCGAAUAUGGUUUAUAAGAAGAAGAUAGCUACCGCAGGGAUAACAGCGCAAUCUUUUCAAUAAGCUCAUAUUUAAGAAAGGGUUUGCGACCUCGAUGUUGAAUCAGGGUAUCUAUUAGGUGUAGAAGCUUAGUAAGUGGGCCUGUUCGUCCUUUGAAACCCUACGUGAUCUG
rnacentral:rRNA from 1 species